rnacentral:misc_RNA from 1 species
GAUGAAGAACGUAGCGAAAUGCGAUAAGUAAUGUGAAUUGCAGAAUUCAGUGAAUCAUCGAAUCGUUGAACGCACAUUGCGCCCAUUAGUAUUCUAGUGGGCAUGCCUGUUCGAGCGUCAUUAAGUCCACUUAAGCCCUGCUUAGUGUUGGGAGACUGCUCCAGCGGUGCUACCCUGUAGCUACCCUGCAGCUCCUCAAAGACAGCGGCGGAGUUGUGGUAUCCUCUGAGCUUAGUAACUUGUUCUAGCUUUCGAGUACACCACUUCCCCUGCCGUAAAACCCUUAAUUUCUAAUGGUUGACCUCGGAUCAGGUAGGAAUACCCGCUGAACUUAAGCAUAUCAAUAAGCGGAGGA